UCUUACAGAUGAGCAAAGAAAGUGGUUUCCUGAGAUGGAAUCUAUUCCUGGUAAAGAUGCUGUGAA
rnacentral:pre_miRNA from 1 species